UACAGAGGUCCCAAGCGUUGUUCGGAUUCAUUGGGCGUAAAGGGUGCGUAGGCGGCGCGGUAAGUCGGGUGUGAAAUCUCGGAGCUUAACUCCGAAACUGCAUUCGAUACUGCCGUGCUUGAGGACUGGAGAGGAGACUGGAAUUUACGGUGUAGCGGUGAAAUGCGUAGAUAUCGUAAGGAAGACCAGUGGCGAAGGGCGGGGUCUCUGGACAGUUCCUGACGCUGAGGCACGAAGGCCAGGGGAGCAAACGGG
rnacentral:rRNA from 1 species